rnacentral:rRNA from 1 species
UACAGAGGGUGCGAGCGUUAAUCGGAAUUACUGGGCGUAAAGCGCGCGUAGGCGGCUUUGCAAGUCGGGUGUGAAAUCCCCAGGCUUAACCUGGGAACUGCAUUCGAGACUGCAUUGCUAGAGUAUGGGAGAGGGAAGUGGAAUUUCCGGUGUAGCGGUGAAAUGCGUAGAUAUCGGGAGGAACAUCAGUUGCGAAGGCGGCUCUCUGGACCAGCACUGACACUGAGGCACGAAAGCGUGGGGAGCAAACAGG